rnacentral:rRNA from 1 species
UGGGGAAUAUUGGACAAUGGGGGCAACCCUGAUCCAGCCAUGCCGCGUGUGUGAAGAAGGCCUUUUGGUUGUAAAGCACUUUAAGCAGUGAAGAAGACUCCAUGGUUAAUACCCAUGGACGAUGACAUUAGCUGCAGAAUAAGCACCGGCUAACUCUGUGCCAGCAGCCGCGGUAAUACAGAGGGUGCAAGCGUUAAUCGGAAUUACUGGGCGUAAAGCGAGCGUAGGUGGCUUGAUAAGUCAGAUGUGAAAGCCCCGGGCUUAACCUGGGAACGGCAUCUGAUACUGUUAGGCUAGAGUAGGUGAGAGGAAGGUAGAAUUCCAGGUGUAGCGGUGAAAUGCGUAGAGAUCUGGAGGAAUACCGAUGGGGAAGGCAGCCUUCUGGCAUCAUACUGACACUGAGGUUCGAAAGCGUGGGUAGCAAACA